UCAUAUCACUUUUUUGUUCUUGCUGUUUUUCUAUAAUGAAUUUCUAUAUACGAACGGAAUUUUCUUUAUGGGAGUAAUAAUAGUUUGAAUUAAGUUUUGUUCGUUAGCUCAUGUUGUGAAUUUGGUGAUUGUCUUUUUGGAUAAGGUCGAAAAUCCGUUCCCUACAAUGAGCAUACGUCGAGGAGGCCGCCGCCGGACGUGCCGUCUCUUUACUUCAUGGAAGAAUCAUUUACAUCGGAAUGCCUUUUGUUCCAGCUGUCACAGAGCUAGUUAUUGCUGAACUGAUGUACCUGCAAUGGAUGGAUCCAAAAGAACCAAUAUAUCUUUAUAUAAACUCCACAGGAACAACUCGAGAUGCUGACGAUACUCUUCUUGAUCCACAGUCUGUGAACUUGGGCUGGGUUUGAUGCUGCUCGUGACGUUCUUAUUCGUGCAAAAGAGGUCAAGAUCCUUCUAUAGUGAUGUAAUUGAUUUUGAAGUAGAACUCAGUUUCUUUGACUCUGAUUUUUGCUGGUGUUGAGGAUUGUUGGGUGGAGUCCCACAU